rnacentral:tRNA from 1 species
UCAUUAGAUAACUUAAAGUAAGUUCUGGUCUCUUAAACCAUCUAAUAAUAGAUUUACGCCUAUUUCUAAUG